rnacentral:rRNA from 1 species
GAUGAACGCUAGCUACAGGCUUAACACAUGCAAGUCGAGGGGAAACGGCAUUACGUGCUUGCACUUUUUGGACGUCGACCGGCGCACGGGUGAGUAACGCGUAUCCAACCUUCCCAUGACUAAGGGAUAACCUGCCGAAAGGCAGACUAAUACCUUAUGGUCUUCACUGACGGCAUCAGAUGUGAAGUAAAGAUUUAUCGGUUAUGGAUGGGGAUGCGUCUGAUUAGCUUGUUGGCGGGGUAACGGCCCACCAAGGCAACGAUCAGUAGGGGUUCUGAGAGGAAGGUCCCCCAAAUUGGAACUGAGACACGGUCCAAACUCCUACGGGAGGCAGCAGUGAGGAAUAUUGGUCAAUGGGCGAGAGCCUGAACCAGCCAAGUAGCGUGCAGGAUGACGGCCCUAUGGGUUGUAAACUGCUUUUGUAUGGGGAUAAAGUCAAUCACGUGUGAUUGUUUGCAGGUACCAUACGAAUAAGGACCGGCUAAUUCCGUG